GCGGCAACAGCUCAAAUUUGAAAGCUAGCCUUCGGGUUCGCAUUGUAAUUUGUAGAGGAUGAUUUGGGGAAGCCGCCUGUCUAAGUUCCUUGGAACAGGACGUCAUAGAGGGUGAGAAUCCCGUAUGUGACAGGAAAUGGCACCCUAUGUAAAUCUCCUUCGACGAGUCGAGUUGUUUGGGAAUGCAGCUCUAAAUGGGAGGUAAAUUUCUUCUAAAGCUAAAUAUUGGCGAGAGACCGAUAGCGCACAAGUAGAGUGAUCGAAAGAUGAAAAGCACUUUGGAAAGAGAGUUAAAAAGCACGUGAAAUUGUUGAAAGGGAAGCGCUUGCAAUCAGACUUGUUUAAACUGUUCGGCCGGUCUUCUGACCGGUUUACUCAGUUUGGACAGGCCAGCAUCAGUUUCGGCGGCCGGAUAAAGGCUCUGGGAAUGUGGCCUCCACUUCGGUGGAGGUGUUAUAGCCCAGGGUGUAAUACGGCCAGCCGGGACUGAGGUCCGCGCUUCGGCUAGGAUGCUGGCGUAAUGGUUGUAAGCGACCCGUCUUGAAACACGG
rnacentral:rRNA from 1 species